ACCGAUUCCCGAAACAAGGCGUCUAUAAGAAACUUGGAAAGAAAAGAAAACUAACUUGUUCUCUUUCUCUCUCUGCAUUUGUUCAAUCAACAAUGUCAAUGGCUUCUCCUUCUUCAAGAAGCCAAACGUCGACGUCGAGCGCGAGAAUUCGAAGAGGAGGUGCAUGUGUUCUCCAACGAAUCACCCUGGCUCGUUGAGUUGUCGGAGGCUGAACCUUCUCAGAGUGGAAGGUACUCUCUCUGCAAAUUAGAAUGCACUAAAAAAUUUCAUCGCAUGCAGCAUAAUUUCAUCAAUCUCAAAAAAAUUUGAGCGCAUCAUAGGUAGAUGUAUCUCAAGUUGAACUUUGAAGUGAUCAAAUGCUUCAAUUAAUUGAAUCUAUCAAAGUUACAUAUAGAAGUCAAGACAAACUGUUGGAAACCGCUGAGCACCCAGUUGAGGGGUCAGCUGAAGAUAUCUUCCUCAACGACAAAAAUAAAUAAAUAAAUAAAGGCAGUUUACAAUAUUUAUGUGCUUUCUUCCUGUCUUGUGCAUUAACUCGCCAACUCCAUGCGAUUUCAUUAUUUCAAGCUCUCAUUGGAUGAAAAAUAAACUUCCAUAAUGUUAUGGUUUCAUUAUCUGAUGUGAUUAAUUUGUAUCGAGUUGGGCAAAACUACUAUAACUGUAAGUGGCAAAACUAUCUGGAUAUAACAAGUCUUGGGGUGCUGUAUUAGGUCAUAUUGUGUAAUAACUGAAAACCAACAAUGGAUGUAGUUUUUUUUCUUUUAUUGGUACAACUGUACAAGGAUGUAGCUCUUUUUAUUUACUGCCAGUAGUAAAGGUGCUUUCCUCUCCUCUCUCUGAAUAGCUUAAAAGUUUGUAAAAGCUGAAUUUUUUAGAACGAUUGUUUUUAAGCCUCAA